GCUUCGACGAGUUGACACGAAACUGGAUGACACGAUGAGAUGAUGGAGGGAAACGGAAGAUGUUAGUUGGGAAUGAGAUGGCUUCGCUUGAGGUGAUCAACUUGAGAAGGAAAUCCUUUCCCGUGGUGUUGCUGAAGACAAAUGUUC
rnacentral:sRNA from 1 species